rnacentral:lncRNA from 1 species
CGAGUAUGGUUUGAGAAAAAAAUGAAAUAUUUGAACCUUAAUAUGAGCGAACACUGGUCUGCUCGAGUUCGACUAGUGUAUCAUUAAACAGAAAACGAGUAUGGAUCAGAUUCGACUCGGGUCAACUUCGAAUUCGAGCUUUGGAUCAUAUUUUCGAGUCGAUCUCGAGUCGAGUACCGAACUACUUGGCUCGGUUAUCACCCCUAUACAAAAUCCAUAAAAUAAAUUACACCUUAAACCUCAAAUGCUUGAUUUCAACUCAAUUUGGUGAAUUUGAAAAGAACUCCAUCAAGAUUCACAAUAUCAAAUUUAGAAAGUUUCCAUAGCAUAGCAAAAGGAAAAUAAAAAAAAACUUAUUGCAGAGAACAAAAGUAGUCUCUAUAUAGUAUAAGGAUUGAAUUGUUGCCAUUAACAGAAAACAAUUAUUAAAUAUAAAAAAACAUGUUAUACAUGCAGAAGAGACAAUAAAAUGAACAGAAAAAACCCAAUUACUGAAAUGAAAAGACUUAUAUUCUAAAAUACUUGUAUGAUAAUCUAAAACUUGAGUUGGGUGGAAGAGAGUCCCACGUGGUCUAAAAACCCUCUCUUGCCUACCUCUAUUCUAUAAAAUAAAAGACACUUCAAGUCAAUGAUAAUUAACCUGAAAGUUUGAAGGGGAUGCUUGGCAUAGCUAGGCCCGGCCUUGACCUGUCUUGGGUCUGACCUGAUCAACAGGCCCUGUCAGACUAUGUCUUUUACUUAAUUAUCUGGCCCAACCUUUUAUCAUUUGAGCUUCGGCUCCGUCUGCUUAAUGGUCAAAGCUUGACAAGCUUUGAUGCAUAACAAAUAAAUAUUAUGAAUCAUUCUCCAUAUAUAUAUAUAUAUAUAUAUAUAUAUAUAUAUAUAUAUAUAUAUAUAUAUAGAGAGAGAGAGAANNNNNNNNNNNNNNNNNNNNNNNNNNNNNNNNNNNNNNNNNNNNNNNNNNNNNNNNNNNNNNNNNNNNNNNNNNNNNNNNNNNNNNNNNNNNNNNNNNNNUUUUUGAUGUUGUGUCACAUGUAACUGCCUUUCUCUCUCCUAUAUUUUAAUUUAUCCCUAGAAUCUCUCACAUUUUCUCACACAUGCUAUAAUUUUUUUAUUGCACACACUGUGUGCCACCAAUAAUAGUAUAUAUAAUGUAGUAAGAAGUGUGUACAAUUAUUUUAAAAAAUUAUUCUUUAAAUUUUUCCAUAAAUUUCACAAAAUUUUAAAGUAAAUAUCAAUAAUAAUAACUAGCACAAUGAUGAAAUAUUCAUUCUAAAAUAGAUUAAAAGGUCGUAUUGGGCGAUCAAUGUAAUUUACUUAUAGGGCAAAGGUCCAAAAAUGCCCCUGAUGUUUACCCCGAUUUUUCACUUACACCUUAAAUUAUUAUUUUUUUUAAAAGUACACUCAACGUUACAAAUUUUGGCUCAACUAUGCCCCUCCCGUCAACGGAUCUGCCACUUAGAUAAAUGUGGCUGACUAGGCUGGACACAUGGCAAAAAUAAAAUUUAAUAAUAAUUUUUUAUUAUUUUCUCUUUCUCCUCCCUCUUUUCUCUCUCUCUCUCCUUUUUUUUUCUUCUCCCUCUUUUCUCUCUCUCUCUUCUAUUUCCUCUGUUCCUUCCUCUGUUCCGUUAUGCAGAUGAUCAUUCAGAUCUGUGCAUCAAUAUUUCCACAAGGCCUACUUAUAGAUGGAUUAUGCAAAUGAAUCCCCCCAUUACAAUAACCUCUCUCUUGCUUCUUUCUUAGCUCCAACACAUAAUCCAUCAGACCAUUUUGACAACUGGGGUCAGAAUAUAGAACAGGGGAAUGACUCCAUGCUGCUUUUUGACAACUGGGGUCAGAAUAAAGCAAGGUUAUUGAUGAAGGCCAGCCACCAUAUAAAUGAUGCAUAUAAAGAGAUGGAAAAUGUAAAGGGUGGCUACAAAAUCCAAGCACUUCUUUGCUCUCUCAAUCAAGUAUAGCAAAUAACCAGCCCUGCACAAACAUUAAAAUUAAAAUUACGAUGCUCUAGAGACAUUUAUUACUUCUUCAUAGUAAUUUCAGCACAAGCAGAAUAGACCAAAAAAUCAAAUCAACACAAACAAUUCAACCUCAGGUAACCCAAACCAUCAACUUUUAAAUAAUUAAACUAGAUAGAAUUAAAGGGCAAUAAUAAUUCAUAUAAUCUCAAAUUCUACUAUUUUUUUCACAAAUACCCAAUUAUUUAAUUUCAAUAACAAUUCAUAAAAUCAACUAACAAAUUCAUGAAACCCACAAAAAUUAUACAAUCAAUUUUCAAGUAGGCCAAUAAAAAAAAUUAAACAGGGGUAUGACAAAUAAAAGUUAAAUUAAAAUUAUGGGUAUCGAAAAGAUUCAAAACCCUCACCUGAUAUCAGCUCCAAUCUCUUAAAUUAAACCCAUCAAAUCUAUUCAAUGAAAUCUAUAAACCCUAACCAAUUUUGAAUUUUUCAAUUACAAGAAGAUAGAGAUUGAGAGGAGAGAGAAAAUAAAUGCGCAACACUUUGUAUACAUCGUAUCUGUGCAAAAAGAUAGACAGAGAGGGAUGACAGUUCCAGAGUUUUUGUCGCUUAAAUCCUAUCGGAAAAUCACCAGCAAAAGAAGAGUUAGUCAAAGAAUGAUGGAAGUUAAUGAAGAGAGGGCUUAGAGAGAGAAUGGGGUGUGGUUAGUGUUUAGAGAGAGAAUAUUUAGUUUAAUGGGUGAGGAUGAGUUGAAAUUUUUAUUUUGUUUUUUGUUUUUGUCAUGUCAGUUAAUUUUAACGUCCGUUUAUCUAGUUGUCAUUUUUUUUAAUGAGAGGGGCAUAGUUGAG